UACGUAGGGUGCGAGCGUUAAUCGGAAUUACUGGGCGUAAAGCGUGCGCAGGUGGUCUGUUAAGACAGAUGUGAAAUCCCCGGGCUCAACCUGGGAACUGCAUUUGUGACUGGCAGGCUAGAGUAUGGCAGAGGGGGGUAGAAUUCCACGUGUAGCAGUGAAAUGCGUAGAGAUGUGGAGGAAUACCGAUGGCGAAGGCAGCCCCCUGGGCCAAUACUGACGCUCAUGCACGAAAGCGUGGGGAGCAAACAGG
rnacentral:rRNA from 1 species